rnacentral:rRNA from 1 species
UACGUAGGGGGCGAGCGUUAUCCGGAUUUAUUGGGCGUAAAGGGAGCGUAGGCGGAUACUUAAGUGGGAUGUGAAAUCCCUGGGCUCAACCCGGGAACUGCAUUUCAUACUGUGUAUCUAGAGUGCAGGAGAGGAGAGUGGAAUUCCUAGUGUAGCGGUGAAAUGCGUAGAGAUUAGGAAGAACACCAGUGGCGAAGGCGACUCUCUGGACUGUAACUGACGCUGAGGCUCGAAAGCAUGGGGAGCAAACAGG